rnacentral:tRNA from 1 species
CCGGGAUCGGCGGCGCGGUGCCCCGCCGCUGCUCGGGCCGGCUCGCCCCGGCCGGGUCGCCUCCGGCGUCCCGGGC